rnacentral:rRNA from 1 species
UACCAGCUCUCCGAGUGGUGUGGAUGUUUAUUGGGCCUAAAGCAUCCGUAGCUGGCUGGGCAAGUCCCCUGUUAAAUCCACUGAUUUAAUCAUUGGAGUGCGGGGGAUACUGCUCGGCUAGGGGACGGGAGAGGCAGACGGUAUUUUCGGGGUAGGGGUGAAAUCCUAUAAUCCCGGGAAGACCACCAGUGGCGAAGGCUGUCUGCUAGAACGCGCCCGACGGUGGGGGAUGAAAGCAGGGGGAGCGAACCGGAUUAGAUACCCGGGUAGUCCCAGCUGUAAACGAUGCAGGCUAGGUGUUUGGGCGGCCACGUGCCGCUCUAGUGCCGCAGGGAAGCCGUUAAGCCUGCCGCCUGGGGGAGUACGGCCGCAAGGCUGAAACUUAAAGGAAUUGGCGGGGGAGCACCACAAGGGGUGAAGCUUGCGGUUU